AGCGUAGGCGGAGAAAUAAGUUAGGAGUUUAAUGUACGGGCUUAACCCGUAAUCUGCUCCUAAUACUGUUUUUCUUGAGUAUGGGAGAGGGAGAUGGAAUUCCAGGUGUAGCGGUGGAAUGCGUAGAUAUCUGGAAGAACACCAGCUGCGAAGGCGGUCUCCUGGCCCAAUACUGACGCUGAGGCUCGAAAGCUAGGGGAGCAAAACAGGAUUAGAUACCCUGGUAGUCCUAGCUGUAAACGAUGGACACUAGAUGCCGGAGGAGUCAAUCCUUUCGGUGUCGUAGCUAACGCGUUAAGUGUCCCGCCUGGGGAGUACGCUCGCAAGGGUGAA
rnacentral:rRNA from 1 species